AUACUGAAAACACGAUAAAACCAGAGCAAACCUAUCUAUAAAAACCAAAAAAUUUCCUCACAUUUACAUAUUUCCUCAAUAAAGCUCUAACCUUUCUGAUCAAAAACCCUUUUUAUCAGCUUCUUCCUCUUUUGCGAUCAUGAAAACCUCCAACUUUCUCUCUAUUCCGCAUCUCUCUUCUCCUUCUUUAUUGAAGGGAGAGUCUUGAGAUUUUAGUGUGUCGUUUUAGUUUAAUCGAAGAUCUUGCUGUGUUCAUGUGAAGAAAGAGAGUCUUGAGCUUUAGGGUUUUAUUUUGGCCUUUGUUGUUGUGAUUAUCAUUUGAAUGCGUUAACACGUUAACGAUUCUGUUAACAAUUUAACACGUUAACAAUUCUGUUACACAAAGAGGAGCUAUGGGCUUUUAGUCGGCCUUCGUUUCUUCUGUAA